UCAAAAUAUAUUUUUAUUGAUGUUUUCUGUCUCUGAUUCUUUCUUUUUCAGAUGUGCACUUGUGUCUUAGGCUUAUGCUUUGCAAAAGGUUCACCAUCGCCCUUAAGUUGCUGUGGGUUUUACGGUUUUACUUCCAACCUGGCAUAUAAAUGCACUUAGUAUCUGAAGUUAUUUGUCAAUAACUGGUGAUCAGACUUUCAAACGAACACGUUUUUAAGGGCUGAGAAGGUGAAAGUUAGAAGUUUGCAGACUGCAACGUAAAUCAAUUUUCAACACAUGGUUUUCUGAAUAUAUUUAGUUUUCGAUUGAAAUGAGAAUAAACUGAAUUUAUAGAUAUGUUGAAAGUUAACUAUUUUAUAUUUUAAACGUUCGCUAAACGCAAGUGAAGCAAUAAUCUAUAGAUGCAAAUAUACUCUAUAUUUUGUUUUAGUU